UACAUGUGGGGCAAGCGUUGUUCGGAAUUACUGGGCAUAAAGGGUGCGUAGGCGGUUUGUUAAGUCAUUGGUGAAAGUUUGCGGCCCAACCGUAAAAUUGCCUGUGAUACUGGCGAACUUGAGUGCGUGAGGGGUAGGGGGAACGAGCAGUGUAGCGGUGAAAUUCGUAGAUAUUCGGAAGAACACCAGUGGCGAAGGCGACUCGCUGGACAAGUAUUGACGCUGAGGCGCGAAAGCGUGGGGAGCAAACAGG
rnacentral:rRNA from 1 species